AUGGUAAAACUGCUGAAAACCAGCUGUAAGUGCAUCCUUGAGCAGCGGGGAGCAUUGAGCUGCUGCUCCCUGGUCGUGGGGAACGGCCCUACGGCUCCUUCACCCGCAGGCUGGUGCUUUCCUGGGGGGCCUGGGUGUAGGAGGGUGAAUCUGUUUCCAUGCAGAUUGUAUUAGGAGGGAAAAGCCAACGCUGAGGCACAGAAACACUUUCGCUUCCCUUCACGCUAAUAAUAGCGCUCAAAGCUGUCAGCGGCGACUGAGCCGCCAGGCUGCCUGUGCCUGCGGUGCGGAGCUGGGGAAACUGAGGCACGGAGAUCCUUAACCUGGUUUGAGGCUGGGUGUGGGAACGGGCUUGUCCCAAGCCGGGCGCUUUCUGCUGGAAUCCACCAGCCUCCGCUGUCCCCUGGCAGUCACCACCGUUUCAGUACUCUCCCCGUUCGUUAAGAACUGAUUAGCCACUCUGCUGCCUCCUUUUCCAAACAGAUCAUCUGUGAUACCUAAUGAAUGACUCCAGCUAUUAAUUGCAGGCACUACCCACCGCGUUGUCACUGCCGGCAGCAGGGACUUUCCUCAGUCCCACCGAGGUCCCGGAGGUGUUACCGUGAUGCAAACACCGAGUACAAGGUUCCUCCUUGAUGUGAGGAAUGAAACGAGGUCAGAACUGGAGGGAGAAAUGUUCAUUUUGAGAUGGAGCUGAGGAUCCAGCUAUUUCCCUCUGACUCUCCAGAGGGGACCGGGGGGUCCCCCAGAUCUCAAGGUGGGCGAGCCAUGGAGCAGAGAAAUGGAAGAUGCUUGAGCUUGUUUCGGGAUACAAGGUUUGCUCUUGUCAUGAGAGUCUCCAGCCUUGGAGUGUUUUACGUUAAGAAGGAAUAACCCCAUCUGCCUCCCCACGAAAAUGCCAGAGCACCCCACCACUGAGGAUGAGCAAGGAGUUGCCAGCCCAGGCCCCUUCCCUCCGCUGCAAAGCACAGGAGCAGGCUGAUGUGCUGCAAAUUACCGAAAAGAUGCAGAGACUUCAGUACAUCCAGCACUAGCGGCUCCAAAGCCAUUCAGUUGACUUCAAACAGCUGCCCGUGCACCAAAUCUGCGCCGCGGCCAGCGGGCCGGGCGAGCAGCUCCGCUCCCCGCCAGCCGGAUGGCAGUGGUUUACUGGUGCACGGUUUGGAUAGCGGCUCUGCAAGGCCGGGGAGCAACUCCCCCGGCAAAGGGCCCAAGGCGUUUGCUCUCCCAGCACAACCGGCCUCCUGCAGCACCGCGUUGCCCUGGGACUGCUCAGGAAUGCAAAAUUAUUGAGGUGCAGGCCCUCAAGGGGGGAAAAACAGCGUUACAAGCGCUAAUUAGGGCUUGUGCGUGCACAGAUGUUCCACUGGUUUAACUUGAACCGGGUUGCGUGCCCAAACGUGGGGCUACAGACAGGAUUAAGGCUGAUUUAAGGUUGCCUACACCCGGCGCUGCUGCACCGAUGCCACGCUGUGCUGUCGGUUCAGCCGCAGCGUUUCACGCACUUCAGGCACGUUUCAGGGAAGAUUUUUCUCCUUUUUGCUUCUAAAAUAAAGGGUGAGGAUCGGAUCUGCCCUGCUGAAGGGACAAUUCUUUAUGUUCAGCCCUCUGCAGCUCCGAGAGUGCGUGUUCCGCUCCCGAAUGCUGCUGUCACCCAAGGGACAGUCGCUCUCGGGGGAUGUCAGAGGACUGUGCCCCACGGUUUGUGGGGCUGGACAUACCCCAAUGGGCACACGCCAGCUCCUGGUGAUCAACCACAGUGCCCAUGGGGAACCCCAAAACCACAAAGCCCAUGAGGAACCCCCAGAUUACAGUGCCUGUGAGGAACCCUGAUUCUGUCACUGCUCACGGUGCUCUGGAGUGGGAGCUCCAGGACUGCAGCGGGGAGG